UGGGGAAUAUUGCACAAUGGGCGCAAGCCUGAUGCAGCCAUGCCGCGUGUGUGAAGAAGGCCUUCGGGUUGUAAAGCACUUUCAGCGGGGAGGAAGGCGAUAAGGUUAAUAACCUUGUCGAUGGACGUUACCCGCAGAAGAAGCACCGGCUAACUCCGUGCCAGCAGCCGCGGUAAUACGGAGGGUGCAAGCGUUAAUCGGAAUUACUGGGCGUAAAGCGCACGAAGGCGGUCUGUCAAGUCGGAUGUGAAAUCCCCGGGCUCAACCUGGGAACUGCAUUCGAAACUGGCAGGCUAGAGUCUUGUAGAGGGGGGUAGAAUUCCAGGUGUAGCGGUGAAAUGCGUAGAGAUCUGGAGGAAUACCGGUGGCUAAGGCGGCCCCCUGGACAAAGACUGACGCUCAGGUGCGAAAGCGUGGGGAGCAAACAGG
rnacentral:rRNA from 1 species